rnacentral:rRNA from 1 species
AACGCUAGCUACAGGCUUAACACAUGCAAGUCGAGGGGAAACGAUAUUGGAAGCUUGCUUCCGAUAGGCGUCGACCGGCGCACGGGUGAGUAACGCGUAUCCAACCUGCCCACCACUUGGGGAUAACCUUGCGAAAGUAAGACUAAUACCCAAUGACGUCUCUAGAAGACAUCUGAAAGGGAUUAAAGAUUUAUCGGUGAUGGAUGGGGGUGCGUCUGAUUAGCUUGUUGGCGGGGUAACGGCCCACCAAGGCGACGAUCAGUAGGGGUUCUGAGAGGAAGGUCCCCCACAUUGGAACUGAGACACGGUCCAAACUCCUACGGGAGGCAGCAGUGAGGAAUAUUGGUCAAUGGACGAGAGUCUGAACCAGCCAAGUAGCGUGCAGGAAGACGGCCCUAUGGGUUGUAAACUGCUUUUAUAAGGGAAUAAAGUGAGUCUCGUGAGACUUUUUGCAUGUACCUUAUGAAUAAGGACCGGCUAAUUCCGUGCCAGCAGCCGCGGUAAUACGGAAGGUCCGGGCGUUAUCCGGAUUUAUUGGGUUUAAAGGGAGCGUAGGCCGGAGAUUAAGCGUGUUGUGAAAUGUAGACGCUCAACGUCUGCACUGCAGCGCGAACUGGUUUCCUUGAGUACGCACAAAGUGGGCGGAAUUCGUGGUGUAGCGGUGAAAUGCUUAGAUAUCACGAAGAACUCCGAUUG